rnacentral:rRNA from 1 species
UACAGAGACUGCAAGCGUUAUUCGGAUUCACUGGGCGUAAAGGGUGCGCAGGCGGCCGUGUGUGUCAGGUGUGAAAGCCCGGGGCUUAACCCCGGAAUUGCGCCUGAAACUACAUGGCUAGAGCAUUGGAGAGGGUAGCGGAAUUCACGGUGUAGCAGUGAAAUGCGCAGAUAUCGUGAGGAACACCAGAGGCGAAGGCGGCUACCUGGACAAUUGCUGACGCUCAGGCACGAAAGCCGUGGGGAGCAAAAGGG